rnacentral:tRNA from 1 species
CGGAAGGGGCGCGGGAGAGGCGGGGAUGGGGGUUCAAUUCCUCUUCGCU